AGGAUAAACGCUGGCGGCGUGCAUUAGACAUGCAAGUCGAACGGACUUCUCGGGGCUUGCUCUGAGAAGUUAGUGGCGGACGGCUGAGUAACGCGUAGGUGACCUAUCCUGAAGUGGGGAAUAACUGCCCGAAAGGGUGGCUAAUACCGCAUGUGAUCGUCUGUUCAUUCGAACGAUCAAAGCCGUAAGGCGCUUUGGGAGGGGCCUGCGUCCGAUUAGCUCGUUGGUGGGGUAAUGGCUCACCAAGGCGACGAUCGGUAGGUGGUCUGAGAGGACGAUCACCCAGACUGGGACUGAGACACGGCCCAGACUCCUACGGGAGGCAGCAGUCGGGAAUUUUGCUCAAUGGGCGCAAGCCUGAAGCAGCAACGCCGCGUGAGGGAUGAAGGCCUUCGGUUGUAAACCUCUUUUAUCGAGGACGAUUAUGACGGUACCUGAUGAAUAAGCCACGGCUAACUACGUGCCAGCAGCCGAC
rnacentral:rRNA from 1 species